rnacentral:rRNA from 1 species
UACGGAGGGGGCUAGCGUUGUUCGGAAUUACUGGGCGUAAAGCGCACGUAGGCGGCUUUGUAAGUUAGAGGUGAAAGCCCGGGAGCUCAACUCCGGAACUGCCUUUAAGACUGCAUCGCUUGAAUCAUGGAGAGGUUAGUGGAAUUCCGAGUGUAGAGGUGAAAUUCGUAGAUAUUCGGAAGAACACCAGUGGCGAAGGCGACUAACUGGACAUGUAUUGACGCUGAGGUGCGAAAGCGUGGGGAGCAAACAGG